GUAUCUGGCACUUCAUGACAGCUGAGCUUCAUGGCAGAUUUAUAAACUUAUACCUCAGUGUGUUUGUAACAUCUCAAACUUUUUUACAGGUUAAACCACAUAAUAACACAGAACCAUGGAGCGAUUUCUUCUUCUUCUUGUAUUGGCUGGAGGAAGUAAAGCAUUUUUUGUGGCCACCGAGAGCAAAUGUGAUGCCACCCAGACUACAUCCCCAUGCUCUCCUGUUAUCGGAGGAUCUGUCUACAUCAAAAUAUUUAGCAACGCAACCGGCUACAGGCUACAAUGUCGGAAGGAUGAUCAUGAAAUUCUUUCUGUGAAGAGAGGAAAUGUGAAUGUAGUUGAGGCAUAUAAAAACCGAACUGAAUUCAUCAUCGGCACAGGGACACUCAAGAUUAUCAACGUGGACUGGAAUGAUGCAGGCCAAUACAAAGUGGGAGGCUAUGACCAUGAUGGACAGAGAGUAGAACGACGUCAUUUUCAGGCUUGAAGUUAAAG